UGGUGGGUAGUUUGACUGGGGCGGUCUCCUCCUAAAGAGUAACGGAGGAGCACGAAGGUUGGCUAAUCCUGGUCGGACAUCAGGAGGUUAGUGCAAUGGCAUAAGCCAGCUUGACUGCGAGCGUGACGGCGCGAGCAGGUGCGAAAGCAGGUCAUAGUGAUCCGGUGGUUCUGAAUGGAAGGGCCAUCGCUCAACGGAUAAAAGGUACUCCGGGGAUAACAGGCUGAUACCGCCCAAGAGUUCAUAUCGACGGCGGUGUUUGGCACCUCGAUGUCGGCUCAUCACAUCCUGGGGCUGAAGUAGGUCCCAAGGGUAUGGCUGUUCGCCAUUUAAAGUGGUACGCGAGCUGGGUUUAGAACGUCGUGAGACAGUUCGGUCCCUAUCUGCCGUGGGCGCUGGAGAACUGAGGGGGGCUGCUCCUAGUACGAGAGGACCGGAGUGGACGCAUCACUGGUGUUCGGGUUGUCAUGCCAAUGGCACUGCCCGGUAGCUAAAUGCGGAAGAGAUAAGUGCUGAAAGCAUCUAAGCACGAAACUUGCCCCGAGAUGAGUUCUCCCUGACUCCUUGAGAGUCCUGAAGGAACGUUGAAGACGACGACGUUGAUAGGCCGGGUGUGUAAGCGCAGCGAUGCGUUGAGCUAACCGGUACUAAUGAACCGUGAG
rnacentral:rRNA from 1 species